UACGUAGGUGGCAAGCGUUGUCCGGAUUUACUGGGCGUAAAGAGCGCGCAGGCGGUCGUUCAAGUCGAGUAUGAAAGCCCCCGGCUCAACUGGGGAGGGUCACUCGAUACUGAUCGACUCGAAGGCAGAAGAGGGAAGCGGAGUUCCCGGUGUAGUGGUGAAAUGCGUAGAUAUCAUCUGGAACGCCAAUGGUGAAAACAGGUAGCUGGGAGUGUGCUGACGCUGAGACACGAAAGCCAGGGGAGCGAACGGG
rnacentral:rRNA from 1 species